rnacentral:lncRNA from 1 species
GAACAAACCAACCCAAGUGUAACUUAGCAUGGGUAGCAAUAUCCAUGUGCAAACUCACCUGGGAGUGGUAAGAAAUGCGGAUUCUCAGGAGUAUAAAUAUUUGCUCUCUUUAAAAGUAACAAAAGAUUGGACUGUAGGAUCUAAAAAAUCUGAAGAAGAAUUCAAAAAGUGCUUGAACAAUGGCAGCAUAAUUGUAAUAUAACAAGUGACUCCUAUAAAAAGAGAAACUUUCAUUUAUGUGUAUAACUAAGUUUUUGCAUUUUUGUUUUUUAAAUAGGGUGUACCACUGAAGACUUAACUGAUUAACAGACUUCUGCCUAUGAACCUGCAAAAUAAAAAACAAGUUAGUUACUUUCAAGAUACAUUGGGGGUGCAGACAUUGGGUAAAUGCUCACAUUCUGAAAACGAGAAAUUGGCCAAAACAAAGGAGCUCCAAGCCCAUGAAAGUCUAAAAUCCAACAGGGCAGUCAUUAAGCCUUAAAGCUCCAAAAUCAUCUCCUUUGACUACAAGUCUCACAUCCAGGCCACAGUGAUGCAAGGGGUGGGCUCCUAAGGUCUUUGGAAGCUAUGCUCCUGUGGCUCUGCAGAGUAAAGCUCCUGCUUUCACAGGCUGGCAUUGAGUGCCUGCAGCUUUUCCAAGCACAUAGUGCAAGCUGUUGGUGGAUCUAUCAUUCCGGGGUCUGGAGGAUGGUGACCCUCUUCUCACAGCUCCACUAAGCAGUGCCCCAGUGGGGACUUUGUAUGGGGGCUCCAACCCCACAUUUCCCCUCACAUUGCACUAGUAGAGGUUCUCUAUGAUGGUUUCGUCCCUGCUGCAGACUUCUGCCUGAACAUCCAGGCCUUACAAUAUAU